GUGGGUGAUCUGCCUUGCACUUCGGGAUAAGCUUGGGAAACUGGGUCUAAUACCGGAUAGGACAGCUGUUUAGUGUCAGUUGUGGAAAGUUUUUUCGGUGCAAGAUGAGCUCGCGGCCUAUCAGCUUGUUGGUGGGGUAAUGGCCUACCAAGGGGGUCGACGGGUAGCCGGCCUGAAGGGUGUACGGCCACAUUGGGACUGAGAUACGGCCCAGACUCCUACGGGAGGCAGCAGUGGGGAAUAUUGCACAAUGGGCGGAAGCCUGAUGCAGCGACGCCGCGUGGGGGAUGAAGGCCUUCGGGUUGUAAACUCCUUUCGACAGGGACGAAGCGCAAGUGACGGUACCUGUAUAAGAAGCACCGGCUUAUUACGUGCCAGCAGCCGCGGUAAUACGUGGGGUGCGAGCGUUGUCCGGAAUUACUGGGCGUAAAGAGCUCGUAGGUGGUUUGUCGCGUCGUCUGUGAAAUUCCGGGGCUUAACUCCGGGCGUGCAGGCGAUACGGGCUGAC
rnacentral:rRNA from 1 species